rnacentral:rRNA from 1 species
AGAAUUUGAUCUUGGUUCAGAUUGAACGCUGGCGGCGUGGAUGAGGCAUGCAAGUCGAACGGAAUAAUGGCUUCGGCUAUUAUUUAGUGGCGGAAGGGUUAGUAAUACAUAGAUAAUUUGUUCUUAACUUGGGAAUAACGGUUGGAAACGGCCGCUAAUACCGAAUGUGGUGUGUUUAGGCAUCUAAAUUACAUUAAAGAAGGGGAUCUUCGGACCUUUCGGUUAAGAGAAAGUCUGUGGGAUAUCAGCUUGUUGGUGGGGUAAUGGCCUACCAAGGCUAUGACGUCUAGGCGGAUUGAGAGAUUGACCGCCAACACUGGGACUGAGACACUGCCCAGACUCCUACGGGAGGCUGCAGUCGAGAAUCUUUCGCAAUGGACGAAAGUCUGACGAAGCGACGCCGCGUGUGUGAUGAAGGCUCUAGGGUUGUAAAGCACUUUCGCCUGGGAAUAAGAGAGAUUGGCUAAUAUCCAAUUGAUUUGAGCGUACCAGGUAAAGAAGCACCGGCUAACUCCGUGCCAGCAGCUGCGGUAAUACGGAGGGUGCUAGCGUUAAUCGGAUUUAUUGGGCGUAAAGGGCGUGUAGGCGGAAAGGAAAGUUAGAUGUCAAAUCUUGAGGCUCAACCUCAAGUCGGCAUCUAAUACUAUCUUUCUAGAGGUUGGAUGGAGAAAAGGGAAUUCCACGUGUAGCGGUGAAAUGCGUAGAUAUGUGGAAGAACACCAGUGGCGAAGGCG